rnacentral:rRNA from 2 species
GAUUUGUCUUUAUACUUAGAUUUAUACCCGAACCCUUAUCGAAUUCGAGUGUCCUCGUCUAGGUAGCCACACAUACUAGUUUUUCUGGGAACCAUGGCCUUUUAAGGUUUAAAUUAUUUCUAAACAAAAAGUUUGC